ACGACCUUGCCAAGGUCGGGGUCGAGGGUUCGAAUCCCUUCGCCCGCUCCA
rnacentral:tRNA from 1 species